AGUAUUCUGGUUAUUUUUUAUUGAGAAUUUUGCGAUGUUAACAUUCUAGGGUCAAGUUCUGGUAAUUGCAUAGUUGAAAUAAAAGUUGUUUCUGUUGUUGCGAAAGUAAACGGAGCUGUGGAUGCAGCCGCUGCUAUUGCUGGCCGAGAAAAAAUGGACUUAUCACGUUAAAAUCGUUGCGGGCUUGAUUCCUUGAGAAUUUCUUUUUCAGUGACAGGUUCAGGAAGCUUUGGCAGGAAGUCGCGACCGAACUAUGGAGCUUUAAGUAUAUAUGUGUUUUCUUUUUCUGUAUUUGGUUUAUUCUUAGAUUUUAUUUUCCCCUCGUCGUUUAUUGUAUUGGUUUUUAGAGGGAUAAGACUUGUAUUUGAGGAAUUGUAAAUAAGGCUAUAUAUUUAAUAUUAUGUGGAUAUAAUUGUGUGAUUAAGUGGUUUAAAGUAAAGACUUUUCGUUUUCAGAAUUGAAA